GUGAGCACCAAUGGAAGUUCAGGAAUAUACUUCUUGAGAGACAGACAGGAGAUGUUCAAGGAGCAGGACAAGUGGAGAUCUGUCCAGAGGAAAGGGCAGGACAGGUGGAGACGCAUCACUGCAUUCAAUGAGUCAGAGGUGUUGCGUGAGUCCCCCGGCAGACAAGAACCAACUGUGUUAAGCAGGAGGCGCUGCUUAGGGCAACUCGUGAAGUGAUGAAAAUGCUAAAUGAUGGAAAUCUCUUUUUAUUUAGAUGUGGUUGGACUGGGGCAGUGGAGUUCUACAGUGACAACAAGGAGCGCUCUAUUACACAAGCUCAAGUGGAUUGAAGACGGAGCUACCGAAUGUAAUCUGGUGCAAAGGGAUGACGCCCCCGGAAAGCACAUGAAAACAUUGUUUAAUGAACUCCUACAUUCUGUUUAGUCAUAAACCUACUGUAGGAUCACACUGAUUCUGACAUGGGGCCUAAAAGCCACACUACAUGAUGGGAAAGCUACUCAGUGACAUCACCCUAAAUUAGUAGCAACUAGCAUGUGUAGCAUGUAGAGGUUUUGCUGUGACACAAGCAGAAUGACACACCUGUCAAAGAGGCAAGAAAUAGUGACAUUCGAUUCUGUUCUUUUUUCUGAAGUCUACAGUCUUAAACUCUUCUGAAUAUCAUCAGUGGUCUUGCCUUUGUGAGUGUGUGUUUUCGUAACUGGAGAACCCCGAAGUUGACCCACCGGGAG
rnacentral:lncRNA from 13 species